rnacentral:lncRNA from 1 species
UCGUUACAUUGCCCCCCACUUAGCAAUGGACGUCCUCGGCCAUUAUUUCGAGCACAGGAGCCAUCCCACCUCGCGCCAGUGCGCUGGUUUAUCCAUUACACCAUGAAAUCGCCAAUUUGCGACUUGCUGGUUGCCAGAAUCGAACCGCCGACCCGAAGUUUGUUACGGAAGUCGUGCAGUCCCGUCUCGAUACCAUUGUAACACAGCAAAGGCGUAACCCGGGAUGCUCAGAUUGGCAUUUGCGUCGUUACACUUAUAAAGGCUUGGAAAGCCUAUCCCAAAGGACGAGAGCUAUCAGUACGCUAGAACCUAACAGCCGUUUUGACGGGCCUCCCGAGACAGGUCCAAAGCUGUCACUCAGUCUAACAUGCGACCUCAGACAGGCCACAGCUGUCACUCACGACAGCCUGACAAGUUACCCAAACAGGCCACAGGGCGACACGGCAACCCUUCGCAUCAACACGCCCCCUCGUGUCGCACUAGGGGCCUUACUACAAAUUGCUAGCACCGACGAGCUAGCUCGGCCACCAAGUCCGCGGUCCAGGCCGACUGCUCACCACUCAACAAACACAAACGCAGCUCGCCAGCCUUCAGCCUGAUGGCUAUGCGGUCUGGUGCUGCUGCACAAACACACAGAGAAAACAGUGCCGUACAGCACCAUACGCACUGCCUACGGCGCCCCUUCGGGCAUUAACCUGCCCAUUCGGGCGCCUGCUCACGCACCCUCAGCACCCCCCUAAAGCCUAGCUCAAAACAAUUCCUCAAAGCCCUCAGCACUCCUCCUCUGGCGGUCUAAGUGACGCCCAGCGCUGUGCGGCAGCGCACGAACUUGACCUCGCCCAGUGCCUUGGUUAGGAUGUCAGCCACCAUUUCGUCGGUGGUGCAAUAGCUGAGCUUCACCUCACCACGCGCGACCCUCUCGCGCACGAUGUGGUGGUGCACGUCGAUGUGCUUGGAGCGCACUGACGUGCUUGGAGCGCACUGACGUGAUGGGGUUGUUGCCGAGGCUGAGCGUGUUUAUCCAAAAUCACACACUGCGAAGCAACCGGUGAUGGCUGCUUUGGCGGCCGUGACCAAUUGCAAGUUGUCCGCCGCCACCAGCAUGUCGUCAACGUGCACAAGCACAUAAAUUGAGCCGUCGGACCCGCGCUUCACGAAUAGCGCGGGGUCGGACAUAGACGGUCCAUAGCCCAGCUUGCCCAACACCGCCGCCAGUUUCUCGUACCAGCAGCGUGGGGCUUGCUUGAUGUCGUAGACGGACUUUGACAUCCGCCACGUUUUGACGUCCAUCUGAUGGACCGUCAUACCCCUGGCCGCUGCCACAGCCAGAAGUGCCCGCAGGGAGGUUGCACUGUUGCCUCCGCCGUUAGUACUGCUGUCAGGUACGUUAAACUCAGCGUGAUCGCUGCUACCCGACGCUUUAUUAAGCAGCGGUGGACUACCCAAAUCUCCGCCGCCGCCGCUGCUGUUGUUGGCUGGGCAGACCGUGGCCAGCGGCGGGUGAAGAGGUUGCCGUUGGCUGCGUGUGUUGGGGCGGGGGGGGGGCGCUGGGUUCACUGGGGGCGAUGCAACCACUGGAGGCGGCGGUGUGGCGGGCUGUGUAGAGCCGCCGACGGGGUCGCCGCUGCCAGGACGGGCGGGGCCAGCGCCGAAGGAGGUGCCCGCCCGUUGAGACGCCAGGCCGCGGAGGUCGUCGUCGAAGGUGACGUCGCUGCUAACAGUCACCUUACCGUCAACGAGGACGCGGUGGGCGGCCGUGCCGCGCUCCGGUCCUAGGUAGGUUCCCGCCUUGUCCGUGCCGAACGUGACUGAGCAGCCGCGUGUCACGAGAAGGUCGACAGACAUGAGCGUUAGUCCCGAGCUGGGGACAUGGAGCACGUUGCGUAGCCAGAUGGAUUCUCCAUCGCGCGUCCGUAGGAGCAGCUGCCCUGUUCCCAUGACGUCGGCUAGCUGGUUGUUCCCCCACUUGAUUUGCUUGGGCGCGCCGGCAGGAACGUAAUUAUGUAACAGUGAGCGGUCACAUGUAAGGUGGUAAGGCGAACCAGNNNNNNNNNNNNNNNNNNNNNNNNNNNNNNNNNNNNNNNNNNNNNNNNNNNNNNNNNNNNNNNNNNNNNNNNNNNNNNNNNNNNNNNNNNNNNNNNNNNNNNNNNNNNNNNNNNNNNNNNAGUUGCCCACGGCGUGGCCUCCCGGCCCUGAGAGGGGGAAACAUUGCGCAGGAGGUUGGCGUAUAGCACAGCUUCCGACCAAAAGCUGUCCGGGAGCGCGGCAUCGUACAGCAUAGCCCGCACCCGGUCGAGGAGCGUGCGAUUGAGCCGCUCCGCUGCGCCGUUCUGCUCCGGAGUGUACGGCGCCGAGUGGGUAUGCGCAGUGCCGCGUUGGCGUAGCCACUGUGCCAGCUGCUCGGCGACAAACUCGCCACCGUUAUCACUAUGAAGGGUGCGGACCCGUGCACCGUUCGGGUUGCGAGCCUCCAGCUGCGUCACCAUGUCCUGCAGCGCUUCGCCCACUUGGUUCUUGCUAACCAGUGUGCGAACGGCAGACAGACCGGAGGCACCGUCUAGCAGCGUUAGCAAGUAGCGAGCCCCUCCUCGGCCCGUGGUCGGCAUGGGCCCGCACAGGUCAGAGUGUACGACCUCCAGGACAUGCUGAGGCCGGUUACCGCGGCUGACGUGAGCUGUAGCUGUAGUCUUCGCUGUGACACAGGCUUCGCAGACACCCUCUGCCGCCUGAUGCAGCGCCGCGGGAGUGACCCGUGGUCCAUGUACCAGCUGCUUGGUGAUAAGCUGCUCCAACGCCCGGUAACCAAGGUGGCCGAACUGGCGGUGCAGGCGCUGCGCUGCUGCGAGUUCGGCGGCUGAGCACUCAAGGGCGCCCAGCUGCCCUUGGCCGUUGCUGGCGCCGUUCGACUGGUCUCCGCCGGUGUCACUGCUGUCGGCGCCGUUCGGCUGGUCCCCGCCGGCGUCCCUGCUGCUGGCGCCGGCGGCAAAUCUGCUAGCGCUGGUACCUCCGCCGGCUCUGUCUUCCGCAGCGCCGAGCGCACUGACGGCGCGUUUGGUCGGCGCCAGCAGGUCCACGUCCAUGACGUAAUGCCCACGCUCACUCCACGCGGUGAUAGACGAACCGCCGUGCGGCAGACCUACUCGCGAGAACCGGCGGCCCGCCUUGUCCGUGCCGAACGUGACUGAGCAGCCGCGUGUCACGAGAAGGUCGACAGACAUGAGCGUUAGUCCCGAGCUGGGGACAUGGAGCACGUUGCGUAGCAAGACGGUUUCUCCAUCGCGUGUCCGUAGGAGUAGCUGCCCUGUUCCCAUGACGUCGGCUAGCUGGUUGUUCCCCCACUUAAUUUGCUUGGGCGAGCCGGCAGGAACGUAACUGUGCAACAGUGAGCGGUCACCUGUAAGGUGGUAAGGUGAACCAGAGUCUAGGACUACUGCUGAACUGUUGCCACUGUCACCGACGACCAGCACCGUGGCACGGUUCUGGCGUGAGCUUACACCGCCGCCGCCGCCGCCACUGCUUCCGCCAGCAGUGUCGCUGCCGCUGCGGCGGCCGUUGCCGCGUCUAAAACGGCCGCGUUCUCGCGUCCUGUCGCCCCCGCUGUUAUUGCCGCCGCUGGUGCCUCCGCCGCCGCCAUCACGAUGGCGGUUGCCGCUGCCACUGCUGCCGGCGCCAGUACUGCGUGGCUGCUCAAACGCAUUGCUGCGGUAGAGGCCUACGGACACGUCCGCCAGCUUAACGGGACACUCACGGACAUAGUGCCCAGGCUGUCCACAGUAGCGGCAGGUGUCGUUGGCCCCCGCGGCGCCCGAGGCGCCGGCAGUACCGCGGACUCCACGGGCGGUGCGACCAGGGCCAACAGCUCCAACCAGGCCGGACUUGACUGCUUGAGCCUUCAGGUUGUUCUCCUUCUCCCGCAGCAUGAACACGAGCUGCGGGGUAGUCAAGUUGGGCAAAUACAUCGCGAACUCGACUGUAAUAGCGUACUGUGGAGGCAGACCGUGGAGAAUUGCAUGACGCAUAGCAGCCUCGUCCCACUGGCCGCCCGCCGAGAUAAUGUCGCUGCGGAGCUGCUCCGCCCGCUGAAUGAAGUCAGCGGUCGUCUCGUCGUCGCCCAUGCGCAGUUGCUUCUGCGGCUCCAGCAGGCUUAGCCGGGCCUGAGAGGCAGAACGGAACUGCAGCUGUAAGAGCUGCAUGGCGGCGAGGGUCGUCUGACAGUUCCUGAGCAACUGCUUGACUGGCAGUUCGCAGGAUAGACGCAGGUAGCCAAGCGCCUGGGCAUCUUCCUCCAGAGCGUCUUGCGCAUUGCGUCCCGGUGGCGACGGGUUGGUAAUAUAGAUCCGCAGCUUGGAUGUAGCAAGGAAAUCACUGAAGUCUCCUAGCCACUGUGAGUAGUUAGACCCGUCCGCUAAGAGGACGGUCUUACACCCUUUUCCCAUGUCGGUUGCCUAGCGAGCCUCCCUGCUCAAGCUAAAAGCAACUACAGAUAUUAACCGCCGGGAACCGUUACCCGGGGCUCAUAACCUGUUGGUGAGACGCUAUCUCACAGGGACCUAGCAGACACGACUAAGGAGACAUUAGCCGUUACACGUAUUCGGGAGAUCCGCGACCUACCACCGAAAGCCCCUUUGCCUAGGCGUAAACGUGUGAAUCUGAGGUACUGUUACCGAUAAACAACAGAGACUUAUAAAGGCUUGGAAAGCCUAUCCCAAAGGACGAGAGCUAUCAGUACGCUAGAACCUAAUAGCCGUUUUGACGGGCCUCCCGAGUCAGGUCCAAAGCUGUUACUCAGGCUAACAUGCGACCUCGGACCGGCCUCAGCUGUUACUCACGAUAGUCUGACAAGUUACCCAAACAGGCCACAGGGUGACACGGCAACCCUUCGCAUCAACACGCCCCCUCGUGUCGCACUAGGGGCCUUACUACAAACUGCUAGUACUGACUAGCUAGAUCGGCCGGCAAGUCCACGGUCCAGGCCGACUGCUCAACACUCAGCAGAUACAAACGCAGCUUGCCAGCCUUCAGCCUGAUGGCUAUGCGGUCUGGCGCUGCUGCACAAACACACACGGGGAAAACAGUGCCGUACAGCACCAUACGCACUGCCUACGGCGCCCCUUCGGGCAUUGACCUGCCCAUUCGGGCGCCUGCUCACGCCCCCUCAGCACCCCCUUAAAGCCUAGCUCAAGACAAUUCCUCAAAGCCCUCAGCACUCCUCCUCUGGCGAUCUAAGUGACGCCCAGCGCUGUGCGGCAGCGCACGAACUUGACCUCGCCCAGUGCCUUGGUUAGGAUGUCAGCCACCAUGUCGUCGGUGGUGCAAUAGCUGAGCUUCACCUCACCACGCGCGACCCUCUCGCGCACGAUGUGAUGGUGCACGUCGAUGUGCUUGGAGCGCACCGACGUGAUNN